AAACGAUAAAAACCAAACGCAAACGCGGUUUCUUGUUCAAAGUCUCCUCUCUGCGUCCACCCCAUUUCCCUCUCUUCCUUAUUCCUUCUAUUUGUCAAUUUCAAGCCCUCUUUCUCCUUUCAACAUUCACGCCGAUCAUCAGAAAGUACCGAUUUGGUUUUCAACAGCUACGGCAAUCUGUAUGUGGUUUGAUCGUUGAAGUGGGGAAAUUCAAGAAUUGAAAUUGAAUGGGGUGUUGCAGUAGCACGAACGUUGAUUCCAAAGCGAGUCGCGUCGCCAGGUGGCGCUCCACUGGCAUCGUGGCGUUGCGUGACUCUAAACUGAAGACAUUUCCAGAUGAAAUUCUUGAUUUAGAAGGAUCAGUCCGCACACUUGAUCUAACACGCAACAAACUAGUUGAUAUCCCAAUGGAAAUAAGCAAAUUGAUUAACUUGCAGCGGCUGGUUUUAGCUGAUAAUCUUAUUGGGCGUCUUCCUAUGAACUUGGGAAAGCUUCAGUCUCUAAAAGUUAUGACACUUGAUGGAAAUCGAGUUGCCACAAUGCCUGAUGAAUUGGGUCAGUUGGUGAAACUGGAGAAGCUAUCAAUAUCAGGAAAUUUGUUGGUCAACUUGCCUGAAACUAUUGGGAGCUUGCGCAAUUUGAUGCUGUUAAAUGUGUCAAACAACAAGAUAAGGUCUCUUCCAGAGUCAAUUGGUAGUUGCUACUCUCUGGAGGAAAUUCAAGCUGAUGAAAAUUCCAUCGAAGAGCUUCCAUCUUCAGUGUGCAAUCUUGUUCAUCUAAAGUCACUAUGCUUGAACAAUAACAAUGUGAAGCAGGUUUCUCACUCAUAUACCUCCAAAUUUAUUGAAAGAUUGCAAAAGUCUGCAGAAUAUAUCCCUCCAUGGCAACCCCAUUUCUUUGGAUUAUUUUCAACAGAUGGAAGGAUUUGAAGAUUUUGAAAGUCGGAGGAAAAGAAAAUUUGACAAGCAGAUAGAUUCAAAUGUGAUGAUUAGUUCCAAAGGUCUUGAUGAGGGUGUUGAUCACUGAUGCUUGCUACUACAUUUUUGAAAUUUGGUCCUCUGGGGUUGUGUCAUAAUAUGGCCCCUUUUGACUAAAUGAACGUGAUCUGAUAUAGUAUGUCUUUGGAAGUAAAUUAGCAAAAGAACGGUUCAGAAGUUUCUUGACCGAACAAUCCCCUGAGCUAUUCUCGUCACAGAUGCCAUGUUUCUCGUGCACAUUGCACCACGUUUAUAAUGGGUUUAUUCUGCUGCAAGUUGCCAUGUUCUGUAAUGUAAUUCUACUUCAUAUGUUCGCAGUUGGUGAAAUAUCAUCAUAUGGGGUGUCUGCGCUUGAAUCCUGGAGGAGGAUGUGAGUAUGUAUAACCCUCGCCGUGUAUUGAUUUAUCGGCAUACCAGUCACAUAUAGUUUUUGUAUGUAUAUUCCCCCCCUGGUUUCCAUCAUAAGAACUACUAGGAAGUCUACAAAGCGCUGGCAAUGUAAAUGGCGUUUGUCUUCCUUUUUGGUUGAUUCCUUUCACGACAUCGUGUAAUAAACAAGUAGAGGGAAGCUAUAAGCAGGCCUGAUGGAAACUUAGAUUGAUGUUAUAGUCGUUAACACUAUAUACACAAUCAAUAUUUACAUAUGUCUAUACUACUUAUUAAGUGUGAGGAA